UACAGAGGGGGCAAGCGUUAUUCGGAAUUAUUGGGCGUAAAGGGCGCGUAGGCGGCCCGGCAAGUCAGGAGUGAAAGCCCUGGGCUCAACCCGGGAACUGCUUUUGAAACUGCCGAGCUAGAGUGCGGAAGGGGCAACUGGAAUUCCCAGUGUAGCGGUGAAAUGCGUAGAUAUUGGGAAGAACACCUGAGGCGAAGGCGGGUUGCUGGGCCGACACUGACGCUGAGGCGCGAAGGCCAGGGGAGCGAACGGG
rnacentral:rRNA from 1 species